rnacentral:rRNA from 1 species
UACGUAGGGGGCAAGCGUUGUCCGGAUUUAUUGGGCGUAAAGAGCGUGUAGGCGGCUGGGUAGGUCCGUUGUGAAAACUCGAGGCUCAACCUCGAGACGCCGAUGGAAACCCUCCAGCUAGAGUCCGGAAGAGGAGAGUGGAAUUCCUGGUGUAGCGGUGAAAUGCGCAGAUAUCAGGAAGAACACCCGUGGCUAAGGCGGCUCGCUGGGACGUUACUGACGCUGAGACGCGAAAGCGUGGGGAGCAAACAGG